CAGUCGUAACAAGGUUUCCGUAGGUGAACCUGCGGAAGGAUCAUUAAAGAGAAGAGAGUCUUGUGCUCUCGGGGCUUCGGCUCCACCUCUUCACCCUUUGAAUAUUCAUCCCUGUUGCUUUGGCGAGCCAUGAUCUAUGGUCAAGCCUACUCAUUCGAGUCGACGAGUGCUCGCCAAAGACCCAUUCAAAUUCUUUGUUUCAAUGUAGUCCGAUAAAUUAUCAAUAAACUAAAA
rnacentral:misc_RNA from 1 species